rnacentral:rRNA from 1 species
AUUGAACGCUGGCGGCAUGCCUUACACAUGCAAGUCGAACGGCAGCACGGGUGCUUGCACCUGGUGGCGAGUGGCGAACGGGUGAGUAAUACAUCGGAACAUGUCCUGUAGUGGGGGAUAGCCCGGCGAAAGCCGGAUUAAUACCGCAUACGAUCUACGGAUGAAAGCGGGGGACCUUCGGGCCUCGCGCUAUAGGGUUGGCCGAUGGCUGAUUAGCUAGUUGGUGGGGUAAAGGCCUACCAAGGCGACGAUCAGUAGCUGGUCUGAGAGGACGACCAGCCACACUGGGACUGAGACACGGCCCAGACUCCUACGGGAGGCAGCAGUGGGGAAUUUUGGACAAUGGGCGAAAGCCUGAUCCAGCAAUGCCGCGUGUGUGAAGAAGGCCUUCGGGUUGUAAAGCACUUUUGUCCGGAAAGAAAUCCUUGGCCCUAAUACGGUCGGGGGAUGACGGUACCGGAAGAAUAAGCACCGGCUAACUACGUGCCAGCAGCCGCCGUAA